rnacentral:rRNA from 1 species
GAUCCUGGCUCAGGAUGAACGCUAGCUACAGGCUUAACGCAUGCAAGUCGAGGGGCAGCAUGGUCUUAGCUUGCUAAGGCCGAUGGCGACCGGCGCACGGGUGAGUAACACGUAUCCAACCUGCCGUCUACUCUUGGACAGCCUUCUGAAAGGAAGAUUAAUACAGGAUGGCAUCAUGAGUCCGCAUGUUCACAUGAUUAAAGGUAUUCUGGUAGACGAUGGGG